rnacentral:tRNA from 1 species
GCGGGUCGGUGAAUGGCUGGUUAAACCGUUUGGUUUUCGACCACUACGACCCGGGUUCGAUUCCCGCAUUGGACA